GAUGAAGAACGUAGCGAAAUGCGAUAAGUAAUGUGAAUUGCAGAAUUCAGUGAAUCAUCUAAUCUUUGAACGCACCUUGCGCCCUUUGGCCAUUCCGAAGGGCAUGCCUGUUUGAGUAUCAUGAACACCUCAACUCUCAUGGCUUGCCAUGAUGAGCUUGGACUUUGGGGGUCUUGCUGGCCUGCGGUCAGCUCCUCUCAAAUGAAUUAGCUUUCCAGUGUUUGGUUGGCAUCACAGGUGUGAUAACUAUCUACGCUUGUGGUUUCCACCAGGUAACCUUCAGUAACAUGGGGGUUUGCUGGAGCUCAUAAAUGUCUCCCCUCAGUGGGGACAGCUCUUUGAACAUUUGAUCUCAAAUCAGGUAGGACUACCCGCUGAACUUAAGCAUAUCAAUAAGCGGAGGA
rnacentral:misc_RNA from 1 species